rnacentral:rRNA from 1 species
CUACGGGAUGCUGCAGUAGGGAAUCUUGCGCAAUGGGCGAAAGCCUGACGCAGCAACGCCGCGUGAACGAUGAAGCUUUUCGGAGUGUAAAGUUCUGUCAGUGGGGACGAAAUUUGACGGUACCCACAGAGGAAGCACCGGCUAACUCCGUGCCAGCAGCCGCGGUAAUACGGAGGGUGCAAGCGUUGUCCGGAAUCAUUGGGCGUAAAGAGUUCGUAGGUGGUAUGUUAAGUCUGGUGUUAAAGCCCGAAGCUCAACUUCGGUUCGGCACUGGAUACUGGCAAACUUGAAUGUGGUAGAGGUAAAGGGAAUUCCUGGUGUAGCGGUGAAAUGCGUAGAUAUCAGGAGGAACAUCGGUGGCGUAAGCGCUUUACUGGGCCAUAAUUGACACUGAGGAACGAAAGCCAGGGUAGCAAAUGGGAUUAGAUACCCGGGUAGUC